UGGGGAAUUUUGGACAAUGGGCGCAAGCCUGAUCCAGCCAUGCCGCGUGGGGGAUGAAGGUCUUCGGAUCGUAAACCCCUGCCGAAUGGGACGAAAGACUCGCGAGUGAAUACUUCGCGAGAGUGACGGUACCGUUAAAGGAAGCCACGGCUAACUCUGUGCCAGCAGCCGCGGUAAUACAGAGGUGGCAAGCGUUGUUCGGAAUUACUGGGCGUAAAGGGCGCGUAGGCGGCCCUCUAAGUCAGACGUGAAAUCCCCCGGCUUAACCUGGGAACUGCGUCUGAUACUGGAGGGCUUGAGUAUGGGAGAGGGAUGUAGAAUUCCAGGUGUAGCGGUGAAAUGCGUAGAUAUCAGGAGGAAGGCCUGUGGUGAAGACGGCCCUCUGGCGCUGAACUGACGCUGAGGCACGAAAGCGUGGGGAGCGAACAGGAUUAGAUACCCCCGUAGUCCCUGAGCGGGCUGGCAAGGCGCAU
rnacentral:rRNA from 1 species